GUGAAUCAUCAAAUUUUUGAACGCAAAUUGCACUCUCUGGUAUUCCGGAGAGUAUGCCUGUUUGAGGGUCAGUUUAAUUAAAAAUCGGUUUGGUUGCUGCUUUUCGUGGUGACGCCCCGGAUUGGGUUCGUCUUCCCUUCGGUUAAGUGACCUAAAAUUUUGCAUGAUUUUUUCGAACGUAUUUAAUUGAUUUUACGUCCGUUUCCGAUAUCGAAUCCUAG
rnacentral:misc_RNA from 1 species